ACGAACGCUGGCGGCGUGCUUAACACAUGCAAGUCGAACGGUGAAGCGAGUGCUUGCACUCGUGGAUCAGUGGCGAACGGGUGAGUAACACGUGAGUAACCUGCCCAUCACUCUGGGAUAAGCACUGGAAACGGUGUCUAAUACUGGAUACGACCAACCCUUGCAUGGGGUGUUGGUGGAAAGAUUUAUCGGUGAUGGAUGGACUCGCGGCCUAUCAGCUUGUUGGCGGGGUAAUGGCCCACCAAGGCGACGACGGGUAGCCGGCCUGAGAGGGUGACCGGCCACACUGGGGCUGAGACACGGCCCAGACUCCUACGGGAGGCAGCAGUGGGGAAUAUUGCACAAUGGGCGAAAGCCUGAUGCAGCGACGCCGCGUGAGGGAUGACGGCCUUCGGGUUGUAAACCUCUUUCAGCAGGGAAGAAGCGAAAGUGACGGUACCUGCAGAAGAAGCACCGGCUAACUACGUG
rnacentral:rRNA from 1 species